UUAGGGAAUAUUGGGCAAUGGAGGCAACUCUGACCCAGCCAUGCCGCGUGCAGGAUGACGGCCCUCUGGGUUGUAAACUGCUUUUAUACGGGAAGAAAAAAUACUACGUGUAGUAUACUGACGGUACCGUAAGAAUAAGGAUCGGCUAACUCCGUGCCAGCAGCCGCGGUAAUACGGAGGAUCCAAGCGUUGUCCGGAUUUAUUGGGUUUAAAGGGUGCGUAGGCGGAUCUUUAAGUCAGUGGUGAAAGCCUGCAGCUUAACUGUAGAAUUGCCAUUGAAACUGAAGAUCUUGAAUGUGGUUAAAGUAGGCGGAAUGUAUCAUGUAGCGGUGAAAUGCUUAGAUAUGAUACAGAACACCGAUAGCGAAGGCAGCUCGCUGAACCAUUAUUGACGCUGAGGCACGAAAGCGUGGGGAGCGAACAGGAUUAGAAACCCCAGUAGUCC
rnacentral:rRNA from 1 species